GGAGGGCAAGGAGGUGGGGGAGCUCCAACGGACAUGACAGGAGGAUGGUUGAAAGAGGGGACCUGGUCACAGGAGGGCUGGUGCAUGGGAGUGGGUGGGAACGAGUGUUGUGGUACUGGGAAAUAGUAGGCUCCAUCUACUCCAAGUACGGGACAUAGAGGGGUGGGGGCUGAAGACACACCCCUGGGGGGUGGAGUCUGUGCUGUGACGGGUGAAGCAGGGCGGGAAUUUACUGCCGCGCUCUGGGCGCCAUCAUAGGGUGGUGGCCGUGGAACAAUAGAAACAACAUCAUCAUUGUGAACACUCCUAUGAUAAACAUGUACGAUCUGCCCUUCAAACUCCAACUCUUCCUCGACCCAUCCUUCCCUUUUCUAACCUCUAGCUACACGAUACCAAGCCUCUGCAACCUUCGUGAGUCCGUUAUCCAACAAUAAACCUUCCUUGUCUAUGAGUACUUUCCUCCAAAACUCCGGUUGCAAUCUCCCACUGGGUAACAUCUGAAAGCCACACACCUUAGCAACCUUUUUAAGUUUCAUCAUUGCAUCUUCCCCUGCUCUUUCUUUCACAAUGUCACAAGCCAACAAACCCUUAGCAGGUCUAGCAUGCUCCUGCCCCAUCUUGACUAAUCAAAGCGUGCCACUCAUUAAAGACAGAUGAAUAGAGAAGGUAUGAGGAAAAAAGGGAAAAAGAGUGUCUACAGUGCUCGACUGCCACGAGAACUUGAGCCCCGUGCGUCUUCCCCAAACGUAGACUAGUCACGGAGGUCCGCCCACCCGGGGUGGUGGCCGCGGACGGGAGCAAAUGAGCGUGGGUGACUAACACAGCUCUGGGUCACAGGCACAGGAGAGAUAAAGCACAAAAGAGAAGAUGAACGUGGCUGCACUAAUGAGAAGACAUUUGCAAAAAUCACAAACGUAUAAAUGAG